GACGAUCGCUGGCGGCGUGCUUAACACAUGCAAGUCGAACGGAAAGGCCCUGCUUUUGUGGGGUGCUCGAGUGGCGAACGGGUGAGUAACACGUGAGUAACCUGCCCUUGACUUUGGGAUAACUUCAGGAAACUGGGGCUAAUACCGGAUAGGAGCUCCUGCUGCAUGGUGGGGGUUGGAAAGUUUCGGCGGUUGGGGAUGGACUCGCGGCUUAUCAGCUUGUUGGUGGGGUAGUGGCUUACCAAGGCUUUGACGGGUAGCCGGCCCGAGAGGGUGACCGGCCACAUUGGGACUGAGAUACGGCCCAGACUCCUACGGGAGGCAGCAGUGGGGAAUAUUGCACAAUGGGCGGAAGCCUGAUGCAGCAACGCCGCGUGCGGGAUGACGGCCUUCGGGUUGUAAACCGCUUUCGCCUGUGACGAAGCGUGAGUGACGGUAAUGGGUAAAGAAGCACCGGCUAACUACGUG
rnacentral:rRNA from 1 species